AAAAUAACUUAUUUCAAUCUCCAAGUGAUUAUCAGGUUGUGAUUCUUUGAGCUUUCAAGGAUGGACAAUAUCAUAUGAAACAAGGAAUAGAAAGGCACUCUUAUCUAUUUUCCAUUAUCAUACUGCUGAGCUUUCACCAAGCACCAUUUUCUUGUCAUACAUGGUACUUACUACAUCUAUUCUGGGUUUCAUUUCCACUGUUUUGUGUUAUUAGAUUAUCUGCCUCGGGCACAAGCAUUAGAAGCAGUACACAAGCCAAUGUUUUUCAUAAAACAUUAUAAGAAGUGAUCUCAUCAAGAUCUACAUCACCCGCUUCUGUGAGAAUUUCCUUAUAUUGCAUUACAUGCAUGUAAGCAUUAUAUAUUUUGAGCAUGCCAAAAGGUAGCAAAGACCAAAUAAUCAAAGACUCAACAACAUAUGACACAAGUUGAUAAAAUUACUCUACACUCCAACAACAUAUGAUUCAAUAUGACAUUGUACAUCAAAACCAGCAGAAAAUUUAUACCUAGACCAGCUGAUGUUAUGUCUUCAUCUUCAUUUUUCUUAUGGCAACUGCAAAAUAAAUAUUCAUCAUGAAUCAAUAAUCCAUCAUGGUAAGAGUCUCACAAUGCCUUAAGUCAAUUUUAUCACAAUCAAGAAUAAUCAAUAGGUUUUCGGUUAUAGUAGCAGGAGAGACUCAACUACCAUAUUUUUAAGUAAAACCCAGCUCUGAGAUUAACAAAAUAAAGAACCAGAAGGAAGGAAACGAGAAGAAACACAUACUAGUCCCAAUUGGGCUACCGAUUAGACUUUAACAGCCAGGUGGGAGGAGAUAUGAGAAUGACCAAUUGGAAUCAGAUCAUCCGAUCAAUGAAAUAGUAUGACUAAAAAUGUGCAAGAAGUUUAAAAGUAACAUCUUUCUUGCUUUACAUGGUUCAUUUUAUGAAACAAACAUCCAACAAAUAAGACCAACAGGACGAUCACCUCAACCUUGCAAAGAAAUUUCAAAUAGGCUAAUUGCAGUGGAACAUAAUGCUAUUUCAGGGCAAAGCAAUUUGCACUUCACAUGUUAUAAAACGUGUGAGGAACCAAAAAAAUAUUAGCAGCAAAAGAAGCUUCAUGAUUCCCCAAGUUACCUAUGUUAAUAAGACCAGAGACUAUAAUUCAUAACACUGGAAGAUGUGUGAAGAAGUUACCUAUGGCAGACUUCUAGCCAGUUCUCAAAUAGGAAUGAUCCCCUUCUAAAACUUUAGCAACAAAAUUCAUCGAGUUUAAAUAGCAACUCUUUGUUGAGCAUGUCCAUAAGCCAUUUCAAUUCAAGCAACUCAGAAAAUUAAAAUUCAGCUAGCAAAUUCACAGACAUAUAAGGCAGCUAUUGGUUAUUACUCCUUUGAAUAUUCACUGGUUCUUAACAUUUAAUGAAUCGUAUCACCACUUUACUCAAAGCAUAGAUUAUGUGCCUUGUAAUAUUUGAUCUCCAGUAAAUUAGACGAUGCAGAUGCACAAGCACAGAUAAGCAUAUACAAGUCCAAGAAUUUCUCCCUACUCAAAGCCGAAGGCCACAGACUCCAUAAUUUAUCAUCAUAGCUCACUCCCAAAAUCAUAAUCAGAAUUUCAUUAAUGAAGCCCAGGAUAUAAAUCACUCACUUAUCACCGGCGAGAUUCAUUGGCAUCAUUAGGAGGAGAAGAGGCAGAAGAGGAAUCAUCAUUCUUGAAAGAGGGAAGAGGAUUUUCGCCCUUGAUAAUCCAACCCAAAGCAAAGAAAGAGAGACCCGCGAGAAUUGCUGUCCCCCAAGCGUGGGAGUACCAUCUGCUGUACUGCCGUAUCGCAAACCUCCACUGUUCCCUCAGCGUUGCCUGGUCCGGGUUUGCCGCGUCGGGCGGGUGCGGGUAGCGGACCCUUUGGGCCGAGAAGUUCGCGUUACCGUUGGUGUUGCCAUUUUUGAUUUCAGAAGGAAUUUUAGAAGAAGAAGAAGAAGAAGAAG
rnacentral:misc_RNA from 1 species